AUUGAUGAGAAGAAAUGUGUACAUUCAGGACAUGGCUGGGCUUUCUAAUUCAUAGAAACUUUUUCUGUAAAUUGCUUUCAAGUUUUUAAAAGUUGCAAUGAAUAUUUUCAGUGAUAAUGAGGAUAGAUGCAGAAGAUGAAAGUAGUUCCAAAUAAGCUAAAGGAAAACUCCCACAAUGCCAAAUAUAUUUAUUCUUGGAUAGCUUAGACUCUGAGACAACCCUGACUCAGCUGACCCAGUUAGUUGUUGAUUGUGUUACUCAUGCACUAAGGAAAGGUUAAAACACAUAUAGGCAUGCAUAUCAUUCUGUUUCAACUCCCCCUGUUUACCCUCCUAAAAAUGUUGCCGACCUGAAACUACAUGUGACAACUUCAUCUCUGCAGAGUUCUGAUGCAGUCAUCAUUCAUCCUGGAGCCAUGCUUGCCAUGCUGGACCUACUGGCCUCUGUUGGGUCAGUGACACAGCCAGAACAUGCUUUGGAUCUUCAACUUGCCGUGGCAAAUAUUUUACAAUCCCUGGUGCACACAGAAAGGAACCAGCAAGUC
rnacentral:lncRNA from 1 species